GCAAGUCGAGCGCGAAAGCACUUCGGUGUGAGUAGAGCGGCGGACGGGUGAGUAACGCGUAGGAAUCUACCUAGUAGUGGGGGACAACUCGGGGAAACUCGAGCUAAUACCGCAUACGCCCUAUGGGGGAAAGCGGGGGACCUUCGGGCCUCGCGCUAUCAGAUGAGCCUGCGUAGGAUUAGCUUGUUGGUGAGGUAAAGGCUCACCAAGGCGACGAUCCUUAGCUGGUCUGAGAGGAUGAUC
rnacentral:rRNA from 1 species